rnacentral:tRNA from 1 species
GCGCCCGUAGCUCAGCUGGAUAGAGCACCAGCCUCCGGAGCUGGGUGUCGGAGGUUCGAAUCCUCUCGGGCGUACCA